GCCAGGGGCACCCCUGGGAAGUGGUACUCCACGUACAGCUGCUGGAUGUGUUCACAGGCCACGGCCUCAGGGUGCAGACUCAGAGAGACUAUCUCAAUGCGGAUCCACUCCAUGUCCUGACAAGAUGAGGGACCCUGCUUUGCAGCUGGAUGGCCGUGUUGCCCUCCCUCACCACUGUGAGCCCCAAUCCACAGCUGGAUGGCCGCGUCGCCCUCCCUCACCACCGUGAGCCCCAAUCCACAGCUGGAUGGCCGCGUCGCCCUCCCUCACCACCGUGAGCCCCAAUCCACAGCUGGAUGGCCGCGUCGCCCUCCCUCACCACCGUGAGCCCCAAUCCACAGCUGGAUGGCCGCGUCGCCCUCCCUCACCACCGUGAGCCCCAAUCCACAGCUGGAUGGCCGCGCUGCCCUCCCUCACCACCGUGAGCCCCAAUCCACAGCUGGAUGGCCACGUCGCCCUCCCUCACCACCGUGAGCCCCAAUCCACAGCUGGAUGGCCGCGUCGCCCUCCCUCACCACCGUGAGCCCCAAUCCACAGCUGGAUGGCCGCGUCGCCCUCCCUCACCACCGUGAGCCCCAAUCCACAGCUGGAUGGCCGCGUCGCCCUCCCUCACCACCGUGAGCCCCAAUCCACAGCUGGAUGGCCGCGUCGCCCUCCCUCACCACCGUGAGCCCCAAUCCACAGCUGGAUGGCCGCGCUGCCCUCCCUCACCACCGUGAGCCCCAAUCCACAGCUGGAUGGCCACGUCGCCCUCCCUCACCACCGUGAGCCCCAAUCCACAGCUGGAUGGCCGGAUGCCCUGUCUAUGGUUCUACAUUGUGCCACCUGGGGCUGGGUGCGUGUGACCUGUAGCAUCAGCUCUGGCACAGCAUGAGGGGCUGAGCAGGACCCAAGGGUAGCCUGGUCAGUUGGCUCUGACAGCUGGGUACCCCAUGGGAGGCAGGAGCUGGUACCCAUGUCCUCGGGAGCAGAGCCUACAUCCAGUGCAAGGGAUUUUGGCUCCAAGCGCUGGGUCCUGGCAGAGGUUUCAGCAUCCUUAGCUGAGUAUCCUGUUUCCUCCUGCUCCUCCUGGCCAGCCUGGACCUCUUUCCCCUCCGGCGUCCCCUGCACAGACAAACCACAUCAGGCUAGGGGAACAGCUGGUUCAGUGUGGGGCACUAGGCAGCCUGUGGGCCAAAUCUGGACUGCCAGAUGCUUGUGAACAGACCAUCACAUCUUUUUAUGUACUUA